UACGAAGGGGGCUAGCGUUACUCGGAUUGACUGGGCGUAAAGGGCGCGUAGGCGGUUCGUACAGUCAGACGUGAAAUUCCUGGGCUCAACCUGGGGGCUGCGUUUGAUACGUGCGGGCUUGAGUUCGGAAGAGGGUCGUGGAAUUCCCAGUGUAGAGGUGAAAUUCGUAGAUAUCGGGAGGAACACCAGUGGCGAAGGCGGCGACCUGGACGGACACUGACGCUGAGACGCGAAAGCGUGGGGAGCGAACCGG
rnacentral:rRNA from 1 species